rnacentral:rRNA from 1 species
UCAGUUCGGAUUGUAGGCUGCAACUCGCCUACAUGAAGUUGGAAUCGCUAGUAAUCGCGAAUCAGAAUGUCGCGGUGAAUACGUUCCCGGGUCUUGUACACACCGCCCGUCACACCACGAGAGUUUACAGCACCCGAAGUCAGUGGCCUAACCGCAAGGAGGGAGCUGCCUAAGGUGGGGGUAGAUGAUUGGGGGUGAAGUCGUAACAAGGUAAC